AGGCGCGUAGCUCAGUAGGCAGAGCGCCGCCCUUACAAGGCGGAGGUCGGCGGUUCGAGUCCGCCCGUGCCUA
rfam:Thermocrinis albus DSM 14484, complete genome.